rnacentral:misc_RNA from 1 species
CAGCCUCAAACGACGCAGCAGAAAAAGAACCAUCCAUCGAAUUGCUAUGCCUAUGACGAGAACUCGAACCGGAACCCAAACCCAUCAUCUUCUUCUCCUCCGACGCAGCGGGCGUUGUAGCUCCAGCUUCACCAAACUCCAGACCAUCAAAAAAGUCGGCGUCAACGGAAAGGCUCCUGAAGUGAUUCAACGGUCUAGGGUUAUGAUCAGCACCCGGUCCAUUUGAAGACGAGUCAGCUGAAUUCGCCGGCUGCAUGUGGGUAUCAGUAGAAGGGGAUAAAGCCGGCGCCGAAAUGUCAAGGUUGAAGUCAGCAACGACGUCGUCUAAGAGGAUGUCAUCAUCGAAGUCCGGCAACCUGAAGAAAGUCUCCGACUGUGCCCGGCGGUGACGUGCUAUACGGGUCGGAGUAUCCGCCAUCUGGUCAAGGUCAAUCCGACCCGGUAGAAAUGGGAUGGAUAUAGGCUUUCCGGUGAACUUCGGGUCCAUAGCAGACAAACCCAAAUCAAUUCUUCAGUUCAAUUUUGGAAAGAAGAAGAAGAAGAGACUGUAGAAAUGGGGUUUGGUUGGGGGGCGGGGGUUGAAGAAGGGAGAGCGGGUGUUGGCUCAGAUAGCGUUUGAUCAGCAA